AUUAACAUAAAGCUCCAAUAGCGUAUAUUAAAGUUGUUGCAGUUAAAAAGGUGAAAUUCUUUUAGUAUAUCUCGUAGUUGGAUUUCUGUUAAUAAUUUAUAUAAAAUAUUUUGAUGAAUAUUUAUAUAAUUUCAUAUUACUAUUUUUUUUUUUAGUAUAUGAAAUUUUACUUUGAGAAAAUUAGAGUGCUUAAAGCAGGCAUAUGCCUUGAAUACUCCAGCAUGGAAUAAUAUUAAAGAUUUUUAUCUUUUUUAUUGGUUCUAAGAUAAGAAUAAUGAUUAAUAGGGACAGUUGGGGGCAUUUGUAUUUAACAGUCAGAGGUGAAAUUCUUAGAUUUGUUAAAGACAAACUAAUGCGAAAAGGAUGUUUUGCAUUUGCCACAUUAAUCAAGAACGAAAGUUAGGGGAUCGAAGACGAUCAGAUACCGUCGUAGUCUUAACCAUAAACUAUGCCA
rnacentral:rRNA from 1 species